CCUGCUUAAGGUUUGUGUUUUCUUUGGCCUGAAAUAGUUACAUUGCUUAACUGUGUAAUGACAUAUUUUACAAGUUAUGUUGAGUCUUUUCACAACUAUUUCAUAAAAAAAUAAAUAAAAUAUUUCAUGGUGCAUUUAAACUUCUCAAACUGUAUACAACUAAAUCACCUGAGUAGAUAAUUUGUAUAUAAUUCUAUAUUCCUAAACAUUUUGUCCUAGUGACACUAUGUAAUGAAGUUAACCCGUUAUCCACAUUGCAUCUGGUGUAUGCGUGCAUGAAAUGUAGCGAUAGACCGAUAUUGAUUUAUUUUUAUUUUUUUGAGCUGAUAAUCUGUGAACUUUCAGGCCGAUUUACCGAUAUUCUGUAAAUUUACCAUUUUGAAAAAACUAAACUAUUUCUACUCAAAUCUACUGUUAAAGGGACUCUCCAGUGUCAGGAAAACCGUUUUCCUGGCACUGCAGGUCCCCUCUCCCUCCCAACCCCCAUUCCAUGUUGCUGAAGGGAUUAAAACCUUCAGUGACUUACCUGAAUCCAGCGCCGAUGUCUCUCGGCGCUGGUUCAGGGUCCGCACACGCUCCUCCCUGCCGACGUCAUGCGCGGCCGGCGACGGAGGAGACCUAAUUCGCAAUGCUUUCCUAUGGGGAAUUUAGCGACGCUGAAGGUUCCUCACAUAACGUGAGGACGUCCAGCGACGCUAUAGCACAGAAAAUCUGUGCUAUAAACUUGGAAAUGCCCUCUAGUGGCAUGCUCCUACCUAAAGAGUUGAGAAUUCUCAGGGUGGCGUGACUCCUCUCGUUUGUCGAGCCUUGUCUCCGGGCAUUCUUUAAAAAAACAGGUAUGUUAUCACUAAUGCAUUUAUAUAGGGGGCCUAUAUUUCAGCCUUUACAAAGGGGGGUUUAAAAUGACUCUCCACUGCCUCAAUACAAUACAAUACAAAGCAAAUAAAAAUGACACUUUAGUAGAUACACCCCUAUGCAUUUUUAUUUUAACAAUAGAUGUCUCUUCACCCCCUUUAUUGUUAUUUAGGGGUCU